CGCAAGAGUCACGGUCAGUUGCGCCUCUGCUUCGGAAGAGUAUUUUUAGUGGCAAAUAAAGUGGUGCGCAAAUAAACAAACGCCUGGAACAAAUCCUGCAAAGGAGAGCGCCUGUGUGCGGCCCACUGUCUAACUAGGUCAGCCUCGGGCACAGCUCCUUUUGACAGUUUGCUCCCCAGGGCGGAAGGUGACCCGCAGGUGCCGGCUGCUUUCCCCACCAAUCAGCCAUCUGUGGUUUGAGACUCACAAGCUUAGGAGAGACUCGGGAGGCAUCAGUUCCGCAUCCCGCACUCCCACGUGAAUUUGCCCCCGCCCUGAGUCAGAACCCUAGAGGGGUGAAAUCCCUGAAUUCUGCAGAGGAAACCCAUACUUCUUUGCUUUUUCAGCAAUUCCAGGAGAUGUCGUUUUUCAAGUGGCAAAUGUGUGGCUCUAGAGGACAGAGUAACCACCUUGCAGCCAAGAAGCCCUGAUGUCAACUCCCAGCUCUGCUGCAGCACCCAGAAAUCACCGGACCUUUCUGCAUCUUUCUGGUCUUUGAGCUUCUUAAAGGGAAGACAUGUCCUAUUCAUCUCUACACCCCCCACACCAGUCUGCAUUCAGUAAGUGCUCAAUCAAUGUCUGCUGAAUCACAUCUUCCCACUCAACUGCAUGGCCUCGGAUGAUCCAAUUCUGUGGGACUCAGGGUCUCCCUGAUUCUGAAGAUCUCCAUUUCAGCCACCCCAUCCUGGUGCUUUUUCUGGAGAGACUGGGAAAAAGGUCUUAUUGGCUGUGCAAACUUGAGGGAGUUGCCUAACCACUCUGGGCCCUGUUUUCCUGGCUUUGCCACUCUUCAGCUGUGUGACCCGGGGAAGCUCUCAACCUCUUUGUGCCUCCAUUUCCACAUCUGUAAAAUGGGGAUAUGAAAGUGGCUGCUUUGUGAAGAGUCCUGAGAAUAAAUGAGUUAAGUUUCCAUGAAUCAGGAAUCCAGGAGUGGUGUAAGUUUCUCAGGAAGUUGCAGUCAAGACAUUGGCCAGGUCUGUGAUCAUCUGAAGGCUUGACUGGGGCUGACAGAUCCACCUCCAAGUUGGUUCACUCCCAUGGUGCAGACUGCUGGCAGAAGAACUCAAUGUCUCCCACAUGGGCCCCUCAACAGGCUGCUUGAGUAUGUUCAGAGCAUGGUGGCUGGCCUCCCUCCAAGUGAGCAGUCCAAGACCUAUUCUGGGACGUCAUACACCAACACUUUUGCCACAUUCUACUCCUUAGAAGCAAGUCCCUAAGCAAAGCUCAUACUCCACGGGAGGGAAACCAGGCUCCACCUCUUGAAGGGAGGGGCACCAAAUAAUUUGCAAGUAUAUUUCAAAACCACUGCAGGUCACAUGGUGCAGAAAGACAGAAGCAGAGCAGAAGAAUAUUAAAACCUAUUGAAUUUACAACAGCAAGAAUAAAAUACAUGAUUGUUGGAACAUUUAGAGCUCCUUUCUCUCUAUUGUCUGCCCAGGAAAACUGAUAUGGAUAAAUAUGGAAGAGAGCUGGCCAGUGGAUGAAAUGGUGAUGUAAAGGUUAAGAGAAAUAAAAGCAGGAGACGAGGAGAGAGUCACACCACGGUGAGCAGAGAGUUGAGCUGGGGCCCGGGACAAGCAUCAAAAGUGUCACUUCCUCUGAGGUCCCAACCCUACUUCCAUAGGCUCUGCAGCCCACACCACCUUGGAACCAAACAGGGAGGUGGCAGAACUGAUGGGCUGGCCGCACCACCUUAAAUCUCUUAGCUCCAAAACUGGAGGUGCUCAUCAGGACCCUGCAUCAUUUCUGUGGGUGAUGGAUGGUGUGAGGUAAGGCACAGAGAUCUAGACUUAUUUCUCCUUCCACAACAAUUGUUUCUUGGAAGAGGAAGAAAACUUAGCUGGAUUUUAUCUCUUUGUGUGGAUUUCUGGGGUAGACACCCAGAGGUGUGUGCAGGAGCAUGCUCUUUGGGGCCCACAUAGAGAUUCCAGCAGGUGCUGGAGAUUCUGGGGUAGCCUUUCCAUGACUGCUGGCCUCUUUUCCCCUGUGUUGCUUUGGUUUGCUGUCUGGCUAAAGGCAGGAGUGGGAGAAACUCACAUUCCACAAGAGGCUGCCUGGAGCAGAGGCCAAGAGGGUAAGGUUUGUCCAAGGCCUUCCAUCUCAGCUUUGCUGCCAAUUUGUCAGAAAAAAAAUCAUUUGUGCCAAUUAGACCCUGGUUAGGAAAGUGUUGUCCUGUCUGGGAAGCAGGUACAGAAACCAGUUGCAAGGACAGGAGAUCAAUGAAAGUGACACAUUACUUAUGCCUCCAAUUCUUCUCAGCCCUCAAUUUAGUCUCUGAGACACAGAGAAAAUAAGUGUACUUGCCUUGCUAAUGGGUACAUGGUUGGCUUUGGGCAAUUUAUAUAGAGCACUUUAGUUCCAAGAUGAAAUGCACUGAGAUAUUAGGAUUAGUCUCUGCUUUAAUGAGUUUCUGACUUGCAGGUUUGAAAAAAUUUAGUUCUUUUCUGUAUUUCUCUACAAACACAAAACAAUGAUUUAAUGGUAAAACAACAAUGAAAAGAAACUAGGCCAUUCUCUCCAAAAUGAUUAAAAGGGUACUUCUCCUGACCUGACAUAACCUUUCCUCAUAUGAAUUUAUUAUCUGUAUUCACACUCAUAUUCCACUGGAAUGCCUUGGGUCCAGGUGGAUGGUUGCUUAUGGUUAGUAUCGAUUCUGAGCAGGUAGGCAUUCAUACUGUUUGGUUGACGCCUGUGGUGAACAGACCUUAAGGUGACUUCUUGCACCCCUGAGUCAUUUUCUUGUAUAAUCUCCUCUCUUUGAGGACACAAACUGUGCCCUGCUUCAAACCAGUGGAAUAGAGACAAGGUGAUGAGAUCUUUGGUUAUUGCACCUAACUGCUUCAUUCAUUGCACAAUUAGUCACACGCUGUUUUGUGAUGCAGAACAUUUUUUUUUAAGAGAUGGUAGUCUCACUCUGACACCCAGGUUGGAGUGCAGUGACAUGAUCAGAGCUCACUGCAGCCUCAAACUCCUGGGCUCAAGGGAUCCUCCUGCCUCAGCCUCCUGAGUAGCUGGGACUAGAGGUGCGUGCCACCACACCCAGCUAUUUUUUAUUUUUUGUAGAAAUGGAGUCUCACUUUGUGGCCCAAGCUGGUCUCCAACUCCUGGGCUCAAGUGAUCCUCCCACCUUGGCUUAUCAAAUUGCUGGGAUCACAGGUUUGAGCCACCGUGCUUGGACUGUGAUGCAAAAUUUUAUCUAAACCUUGUAUUGUUGACUAUAGCAUCAUGCACUUACUAUUUUCCCUCUUAACUAGAUUUUAAGUCUCUUGAGGGCAAGAACUCUGUUCUUGAAGAUUUUCAGAAGCCCGAUAGCAUAUGGAAGUACUUGACACACAAUAAGUACACAGUCAUAUGUGAUUUGGUUUCUGAGCCUUCAUUUGUCCAACAAAACCAGAUGGGUCUUAGAUGAAGAUAUACGUGGCAAACACUGCAUGCCUACUGUGGGUCAGGUUAGCUCCCAGACAUGCAGAAAACAAAAGCUCUGUCCUCAGGAGUUCAUGAUGGUUCAACCCAAUCAACGAAGUCUUGCAAUCUCACUUCCUCCUUACCUUGUAGAGUUGGAAGAUAUCCAAAUAUUCCUAGAGUUCUUUGUCAAUCUGUCAGGAUUAUAAUUCCACAGAUCAGGCAGAGUGUAACCAUGAAGCUCUUCAGUGAAUUUUUAGUGACUUUUGGGUGAUUUUUUAGUUUCCAAGUAGAAGAAGCAAAAGACCCUUGUGGUGGUUACCUUCCAUCUAAACAGAGAGUGAGCUACAAAGAUACUGCUGUCCCUCAGUGGCCCAUGGGUGUCCCUGCAAAUCUGUGACUCAAGUGGCCAUAUUCAUAUUAAGCAGACCAGAGAUCAAAACCAUAUUAGGCAUGAACCACUUUUUAUUCAUAGGCUUACCGAAUAUAU
rnacentral:lncRNA from 10 species